GCUUGCUCUCGGGUGACGAGCGGCGGACGGGUGAGUAAUGUCUGGGAAACUGCCUGAUGGAGGGGGAUAACUACUGGAAACGGUAGCUAAUACCGCAUAACGUCGCACGACCAAAGUGGGGGACCUUCGGGCCUCAUGCCAUCAGAUGUGCCCAGAUGGGAUUAGCUAGUAGGUGGGGUAAUGGCUCACCUAGGCGACGAUCCCUAGCUGGUCUGAGAGGAUGACCAGCCACACUGGAACUGAGACACGGUCCAGACUCCUACGGGAGGCAGCAGUGGGGAAUAUUGCACAAUGGGCGCAAGCCUGAUGCAGCCAUGCCGCGUGUAUGAAGAAGGCCUUCGGGUUGUAAAGUACUUUCAGCGAGGAGGAAGGCGUUAAGGUUAAUAACCUUAGUGAUUGACGUUACUCGCAGAAGAAGCACCGGCUAACUCCGUGCCAGCAGCCGCGGUAAUACGGAGGGUGCAAGCGUUAAUCGGAAUUACUGGGCGUAAAGCGCACGCAGGCGGUUUGUUAAGUCAGAU
rnacentral:rRNA from 1 species